AGAGAGAGAUAAAGCGAUUUACAGAGAGGAAAGUGGAGAAUGAAGAACAAUAUAUGAAAUCUCAUUAUUGAAAUCGUCUUAAAGAUCAUCGUAAUGAUCUCAAUUCUAGAGGAGAUAUAGUUAGGGUAAAAUCUUGAAAAUAUCCUGGUUGGAUUACUAUUGUGCUUGAUCCAGCAUUGGAAGCACCUAACAAGGUUCUGAUAGACAAAGGUGUUGCGGAAUCAGAGAAAGAGCAUGGCAAGGAAAUGCUUGAUAAAUUGGAAGAUUGGACGGAUGAAUCUGAACAGAUGAUUUUGGAUAAUAGAAGGGAUAAAAUUGCACAUAAACAGAAGGAAUUGCUCUCAUACGUUGGAGGGUGACCACUAACCACUCAAUCUGUUCUCAAACAUUCAUUCAUAUACACUCCUGCCUAAGUGAAGCAGUUAUUUCCACUCCAUGUGGUUCUUAUAAUUAAGUUCCACGUAUCCAGUUGGUUGGUUAAAAUGUUGCCUCCAUAGAGUGUUACUGCUUUAGCAUGUAAUACAAAAUAACUUUGGAAAGAUGAAGAUCGUGGACUCUGCAUUAGUCUCUUUUCAUUUCUUUGCUAUUUUAUUUGACGUGCGAAUUUCUUUCUUCCGUUUGUUUUCUUGUUUGCUUAGUUGGGAUCUGCCAGCUCCACUUCGAAGAACGUUCGGAAUUAGAGAAACAAGGUUUUUAAUCCUUUAAGCACGGAUCGAAUUGAAGCUGUUCGGACAUCAAAUUGAGAGGUCUGGACUUUUGGUCUCUGUGAUUUUGUAUAAAUGUGAUUCUCUAAAAUGAGUAGUGGAUAAUUCUCAUCUUACAAAUGAAUGCAUUUAUUGGAAUAUCAAAGCGGUCUUACAUGGAGGUGGUAAUGAACUAUGUAAAGUCCAACGCCUCGGUUGAUGUUGGUCCAAUAUCUGCAUUAGUGCUUCAAUUUCAGACGCCUAGGUGCUGAUAAAAUCUAUAAUGUUUUCAACAAUCAAUUUUAUGAAGCUGUUAAAAAAAUUGAAAUUUGAUAAGCAACUAGUGGUGGCGAACGUAUGAAAGAUAAUUACUGAAGCAGCUGGUUACCAAUCACAUCUUAUCGCCCCUGAACAAGGAUAUCGCUGUCUCAUUGAAUAUUCUUUAAUUAUCGUAGAGGUCAUGCAUAGGUAGCAGGGUGCAGUAGGCAUUACUUUAACUUACUUCCUAUAUUUCCCGUCAAACAUAGUU